rnacentral:rRNA from 1 species
CGCAUACGACCUACGGGAGAAAGGGGGCAGUUUACUGCUCUCGCUAUUAGAUGAGCCUAAGUCGGAUUAGCUAGAUGGUGGGGUAAAGGCCUACCAUGGCGACGAUCUGUAGCUGGUCUGAGAGGAUGAUCAGCCACACCGGGACUGAGACACGGCCCGGACUCCUACGGGAGGCAGCAGUGGGGAAUAUUGGACAAUGGGGGAAACCCUGAUCCAGCCAUGCCGCGUGUGUGAAGAAGGCCUUUUGGUUGUAAAGCACUUUAAGCAGUGAAGAAGACUCCAUGGUUAAUACCCAUGGACGAUGACAUUAGCUGCAGAAUAAGCACCGGCUAACUCUGUGCCAGCAGCCGCGGUAAUACAGAGGGUGCAAGCGUUAAUCGGAAUUACUGGGCGUAAAGGGAGCGUAGGUGGCUCUAUAAGUCAGAUGUGAAAUCCCCGGGCUUAACCUGGGAACUGCAUCUGAAACUGUAGAGCUAGAGUAUGUGAGAGGAAGGUAGAAUUCCAGGUGUAGCGGUGAAAUGCGUAGAGAUCUGGAGGAAUACCGAUGGCGAAUGCAGCCUUCUGGCAUAAUACUGACACUGAGGCUCGAAAGCGUGGGUAGCAAACAGGAUUAGAUACCCUGGUAGUCCACGCCGUAAACGAUGUCUACUAGUCGUUUGGGUCCCUUGAGGACUUAGUGACGCAGCUAACGCAAUAAAUUAGACCGCCUGGGGAGUACGGCCGCAAGGUUAAAACUCAAAUGAAUUGACNGGGGCCCGCACAAACCGGUGGAGCAUGGUGGUUUUAAUUCGAUGCAACGCCGAANAACCCUUACCCUGGGUCCUUGAACAUAUUCUAAGAAUCCCUGGCAGAAGAUGCGGGGAAGUGGCCUUUCGGGAAAUUAGAAAUACCAGGUGCUUGCAAUGGCCUGUCCUCAGCCUCGUGGUCGUGAGAUGUUGGGUUAAGUCCCGCAACGAGCGCAACCCUUGUCCUUAGUUACCAGCGGGUUAAGCCGGGAACUCUAAGGAUACUGCCAGUGACAAACUGGAGGAAGGCGGGGACGACGUCAAGUCAUCAUGGCCCUUACGACCAGGGCUACACACGUGCUACAAUGGUAGGUACAGAGGGCAGCUACACAGCGAUGUGAUGCGAAUCUCAAAAAGCCUAUCGUAGUCCAGAUUGGAGUCUG